rnacentral:rRNA from 1 species
UGGCUGGGCGGAAUGCUCUUACACAUGUCAAGUCGAACGGCAGCACGGGGGCAACCCUGGUGGCGAGUGGCGAACGGGUGAGUAAUACAUCGGAACGUACCCAGUCGUGGGGGAUAACUACGGGAAACCGUAGCUAAUACCGCAUACGAUCUACGGAUGAAAGCGGGGGAUCGCAAGACCUCGCGCGAUUGGACCGGCCGAUGGCAGAUUAGGUAGUUGGUGAGGUAAAGGCUCACCAAGCCUUCGAUCUGUAGCUGGUCUGAGAGGACGACCAGCCACACUGGGACUGAGACACGGCCCAGACUCCUACGGGAGGCAGCAGUGGGGAAUUUUGGACAAUGGGCGCAAGCCUGAUCCAGCCAUUCCGCGUGCAGGAUGAAGGCCUUCGGGUUGUAAACUGCUUUUGUACGGAACGAAAAGCCUUUCUUUAAUACAGGGAGGUCAUGACGGUACCGUAAGAAUAAGCACCGGCUAACUACGUGCCAGCAGCCGCGGUAAUACGUAGGGUGCAAGCGUUAAUCGGAAUUACUGGGCGUAAAGCGUGCGCAGGCGGUGAUGUAAGACA